rnacentral:rRNA from 1 species
CUGCAAGUCGAACGGCAGCACGGGGGCAACCCUGGUGGCGAGUGGCGAACGGGUGAGUAAUGCAUCGGAACGUGCCCAGUAGUGGGGGAUAACCAGUCGAAAGAUUGGCUAAUACCGCAUACGACCUACGGGUGAAAGCGGGGGACCGUAAGGCCUCGCGCUAUUGGAGCGGCCGAUGUCUGAUUAGCUAGUUGGCGGGGUAAAAGCCCACCAAGGCGACGAUCAGUAGCUGGUCUGAGAGGACGACCAGCCACACUGGGACUGAGACACGGCCCAGACUCCUACGGGAGGCAGCAGUGGGGAAUUUUGGACAAUGGGGGCAACCCUGAUCCAGCCAUGCCGCGUGAGUGAAGAAGGCCUUCGGGUUGUAAAGCUCUUUCGGCCGGGAAGAAAUCGUAUGGGUUAAUACCCUGUGCGGAUGACGGUACCGGCAUAAGAAGCACCGGCUAACUACGUGCCAGCAGCCGCGGUAAUACGUAGGGUGCGAGCGUUAAUCGGAAUUACUGGGCGUAAAGCGUGCGCAGGCGGUUUUGUAAGACAGGCGUGAAAUCCCCGGGCUCAACCUGGGAACUGCGCUUGUGACUGCAAGGCUAGAGUAUGGCAGAGGGGGGUGGAAUUCCACGUGUAGCAGUGAAAUGCGUAGAGAUGUGGAGGAACACCAAUGGCGAAGGCAGCCCCCUGGGCCAAUACUGACGCUCAUGCACGAAAGCGUGGGUAGCAAACAGGAUUAGAUACCCUGGUAGUCCACGCCCUAAACGAUGUCAACUAGGUGUUGGGUGGGUAAAACCAUUUAGUACCGUAGCUAACGCGUGAAGUUGACCGCCUGAGGAGUACGGCCGCAAGGUUAAAACUCAAAGGAAUUGACGGGGACCCGCACAAGCGGUGGAUGAUGUGGGAUUAAUUCC